CCAGGCCUCGGCAAAAAACACACAUGUGUCGACACGUUGACCCAGGGUGCCGCAGCGGAACGUUCCGCGCGGUUGGGCAAUUGGACACAUGGAGGACUAAC
rnacentral:sRNA from 1 species